rnacentral:lncRNA from 1 species
CAGUUUGUAGGCACUCUCAGCUUGUAGGCACUCUCAUCUUGUAGGUACUUGAAGGUACUCUCAGCUUGUAGGUACUCUCCGCUUGUAAGUACUCUCAGCUUGUAGGCACUCUCAGCUUGUAGGUACUUGAAGGUACUCUCAGCUUGUAGGCACUCAGUUUGUAGGCACUCUCAGCUUGUUGGUACUCUCAGCUUGUAGGUACUCAUCUUGUAGGUACUUGUAGGUACUCUCAGCUUGUAGGCACUCAGUUUGUGGGUACUCUCUGCUUGUAGAUACUCUCCGCUUGUAGGCACUCUCAGCUUGUUGGUACUCUCAGCUUGUAGGUAAUCUCAGCUUGUAGGCACUCCCAGUUUGUAUGUACUCUCAGCUUGUAGGUACUCUCAGCUUGUAGGCACUCUCAGCUUGUAGGCACUCUCAGCUUGUAGGCACUCUCAGCUUGUAGGUGCUCUCAGCUUGUAGGCACUCAGUUUG